UUAUGUAUUUAAUGCCUGUUAGGUAUCCUGGACUCUAGAUUUUUGUGUCGAGAUUUCUCAAUCCAAAACUUAUUGUAAAGCGUCAAUGAUGAGCAUUUAGGGCUUAGGCCCGAUGAAUGCUGCGUGCUGUAAUGAAGUUCACCUAGUGUUUGAUCAAUACUGGGAGAUGUCAAUCAAAGCGGGAGAACGAUCAAGAAGAGCUGCAACUUCAACUUCACUAGAGGUCCAGAUCAGUGGACCUGCUACCCCUAUUCCAAAACAAUGGGGCAAGUUUAUCACAAGCAGCAAGAACAAAGUCAAUCUCUGUGAAUUUCUGACGAAGUCCUUGACAGAGCUAGGGAUGGAAUAGCUUGAGAGCGAUCAACGACUUGUCCUCGGUGGAGGCGAAAGAGAUGGCUUCAGUGCGUUAGAAGAAGAGGCAGACACUCGGCUCUUUCUCCACGCCAAGCAUGCUUCGAUCAACCAUCCCAGAUGUAGAAUCGUUGUUCACUCCCCUGACACAGAUGUUCUUGUGCUUGGAGUUUGUCACUAUACUAGAAUUGUCUGCGACGAACCCUGGCUCAAAACGGGAAUCAAAGAUCGCCUUCGGUUCAUCCUACUACACGCUAUGGCUCAACAUCUGGGAGAGAGAAUGUGCGAUGCUCUGCCAGGAUUUCAUGCCAUUUCUGGUUGCGAUUCCACGAGCUCUCUUAGUGGAAUUGGCAAAAAAAAGGAUGGGACAUCCUUCAAAGUAACAAGGAUCACCAGGAUAGUCUAAGUCUGCUCGGAGCUGCAGAAAACGUCGGUGCUGCAACUAGGUCCAAGUGUGAAGAGUAUGUAUGCAAUCUUUACCACAAGAGAAAGUCAACAUCAGCUGAUGAGCUACGCUACUUCCUCUUUUGCCAGAAGAAACAAAAGAGCGAAAGGCUUCCUCCAACAUCCAACAGUCUGCAACAUCACCUGGAACGGGCCAACUACCAAGCUCUUGUAUGGCGUCGCUCCUUGGAGGCAAUGCAGGACCUCCCGAGGCCAGAAGAUAGCGGGUGGGAGAGGUCAGGGAUUGAGCUGAAGCCAGUUCUGAUGUCCAAGGACCCUGCCCCAAGCAGUUUGUUAGAGCUCUCGACUUGUGGCUGCAAAUCUGGCUGUCAGAGGAACUGUUCCUGCAGUAACAACGGACUCUCUUGCUCCAAAGCGUGCAGCUGCAUGGCUGGAACAGACUGCAGGAAUCACUAUUCUUUGCGACUAGCAUGCAAUGACCUCUCCGAUUCUGACGGCUCGGAUUCAGAUUCUGACUGAGUAAUACACGAGCGGGCUUCCUGUGGUGCCGGCUAGGGAUAAAUAAAGGCAGAUGUAUCUCUAGCGACACGGAUAUCAGCUCAGAGCUCAAAGCAGCCAUUAGAUGAGUGGAAAACAGUCGCCUUGAGUAGACUGAAUCCGUUUUACCGGCAACGGCGGGAUUUUCGUAAGGAAAAGCAACAUUUUUUACACGUGACUGAUCACGUGACAGAUCACGUGACUUUUCUUUAUCUGGGCGUACUUUAGCCAUUUCCUUAGAAUGUUGAUAUGUAUAAAAACUGUAAAGUUAUAGCUUUUCUAUGCACGGAAAAUGUAAAAAAAAACCGCGCCCUCUUAAUGUGAGCCUCGUUUCCAUGCAGGACUACGAGUGCCGAAAUAAAACACUCAUAUCUCUCCACUUUGCA